GGAGGCUGUUUGCAACCGUGGUCACAAAAUUCAAUGUUCUGGGAGAAUUGGAAGCAGCUCAAUUUUUUUGGGGCCCCUUACACAGCUCAAGGUCUGGGCCCCAGGGCCUGACGGUGAGUAUGCCCAUAAGGCCCACUCAUAAGUUCCACCCACCCAUGAGUUCGCUCACAGGGUGUGGAGUGUGUAGGGGAUGUGUUAUUGUAGAGGAUCUAAUGUGUGUGCUUAUGGUAUGUAGUGUUUAGGGUUACCAGUUUGUGCAGGUGAUGCAGUGUGUUUGUGUGUAGUGGAAGCAGUGUGUAUUUGUGUAUAAG